rnacentral:rRNA from 1 species
AAAAAGCCGCUAUCGUGUAGCAAGGGCCCGUACCGUAAACCGACACAGGUGGAUGAGGAGAGGAUCCUAAGGCCGGCGGGAGAAGUGUUGUUAAGGAACUCGGCAAAAUGACUCCGUAACUUCGGGAGAAGGAGUGCUGCGCAAGCAGCCGCAGAGAAAUGGCCCAAGCAACUGUUUAGCAAAAACACAGGUCUAUGCGAAACCGAAAGGUGAGGUAUAUGGGCUGACGCCUGCCCGGUGCUGGAAGGUUAAGGGGAGAGCUUAGCGCGAGCGAAGGUUUGAACUUAAGCCCCAGUAAACGGCGGCCGUAACUAUAACGGUCCUAAGGUAGCGAAAUUCCUUGUCGGGUAAGUUCCGACCCGCACGAAAGGCGUAAUGAUUUGGGCACUGUCUCAACAACACACCCGGUGAAAUUGAAAUACCAGUGAAGAUGCUGGUUACCCGCGCCAGGACGGAAAGACCCCAUGGAGCUUUACUCCAGCCUGAUACUGGGAUUCGGUAUUGCAUGUACAGGAUAGGUGGGAGGCUAAGAACUCAUGGCGCCAGCCGUGAGGGAGCCGGUGUUGGGAUACCACCCCUGCAGUACUGGGUUUCUAACCUGCGCCCGUGACCCGGGCGGGGGACAAUGUCAGGCGGGGAGUUUGACUGGGGCGGUCGCCUCCGAAAGGGUAUCGGAGGCGCUCAAAGGUCUCCUCAGGAUGGUUGGAAACCAUCCAGAGAGUGCAAAGGCAGAAGGAGGCUUGACUGCGACACCGACGGGUGGAGCAGGUACGAAAGUAGGACUUAGUGAUCCGGUGGCAUAAAGUGGGAUUGCCAUCGCUCAACGGAUAAAAGCUACCCUGGGAUAACAGGCUUAUCAUUCCCAAGAGUUCACAUCGACGGAGUGGUUUGGCUCCUCGAUGUCGGCUCAUCGCAUCCUGGAGCUGGAGCAGGUUCCAAGGGUUGGGCUGUUCGCCCAUUAAAGCGGUACGCGAGCUGGGUUCAGAACGUCGUGAGACAGUUCGGUCCCUAUCCGGCGCGGGCGCAGGAUAUCUGAGAGGAGCUGUCCUUAGUACGAGAGGACCGGGAUGGACCGUCCGCUGGUGGACCGGUUGUCAUGCCAAUGGCACGGCCGGGUAGCCAAGACGGGAAGGGAUAAACGCUGAAGGCAUCUAAGCGUGAAGCCCCCCUCAAGAUGAGAUAUCCAUACUCGAAAGAGUGAGAGACCCCUUAGAGACGAUGAGGUAGAUAGGGCAGAGAUGGAAGUGCAGCGAUGCAUGGAGUUGACUGUUACUAAUCGGUCGAAAGCC